rnacentral:rRNA from 1 species
AGCAGUCGCCACGGUAAUACGAAGGGGGCUAGCGUUGCUCGGAAUGACUGGGCGUAAAGGGCGCGUAGGCGGUUUAUACAGUCAGAUGUGAAAUUCCUGGGCUCAACCUGGGGACUGCAUUUGAUACGUAUGGACUUGAGUGGAGAAGAGGGUUGUGGAAUUUCCAGUGUAGAGGUGAAAUUCGUAGAUAUUGGAAAGAACACCGGUGGCGAAGGCGGCAACCUGGUCUUUAACUGACGCUGAGGCGCGAAAGCGUGGGGAGCAGACAGGAUUAGAUACCCCCGUAGUCCCUGUCUCUUAUAC